rnacentral:rRNA from 1 species
UACAGAGGUCUCAAGCGUUGUUCGGAUUCAUUGGGCGUAAAGGGUGCGUAGGCGGCGCGGUAAGUCGGGUGUGAAAUCUCGGGGCUUAACUCCGAAACUGCAUUCGAUACUGCCGUGCUUGAGGACUGGAGAGGAGACUGGAAUUUACGGUGUAGCGGUGAAAUGCGUAGAUAUCGCUUGGAACGCCGAAGGUGAAAACAGGCUGCUGGGGUUGCGCCGACGCUGAGACACGAAAGCCAGGGGAGCAAACGGG